UACGAAGGGGGCGAGCGUUAUUCGGAAUCACUGGGCGUAAAGCGUGCGUAGGCUGUUUCGCAAGUUGGGAGUGAAAGCCCAGGGCUCAACCCUGGAAUUGCUCUCAAAACUGCGUUACUUGAAUCCGGGAGAGGAUAGCGGAAUUUCCAGUGUAGUAGUGAAAUACGUAGAUAUUGGAAGGAACACCAGUGGCGUAAGCGGCUAUCUGGACCGGCAUUGACGCUGAGGCACGAAAGCGUGGGGAUCAAAC
rnacentral:rRNA from 1 species